rnacentral:tRNA from 1 species
GCCCCCGUAGCUCAGUAGAUAGAGCGCCACCGUCCUAAGGUGGGCGUCGUAGGUGCAAUUCCUACCGGGGGCA